rnacentral:rRNA from 1 species
UACGUAGGGGGCAAGCGUUAUCCGGAAUUAUUGGGCGUAAAGGGCGCGUAGGCGGUUUUUUAAGUCGGAUGUGAAAGCCCUGGGCUCAACCUGGGAACUGCAUUCGUGACUGGCAGACUAGAGUAUGGCAGAGGGAGGUGGAAUUCCACGUGUAGCAGUGAAAUGCGUAGAUAUGUGGAGGAACACCGAUGGCGAAGGCAGCCUCCUGGGCCAAUACUGACGCUGAGGCACGAAAGCGUGGGGAGCAAACAGG